UACAGAGGGUGCGAGCGUUGUCCGGAAUCACUGGGCGUAAAGGGCGCGUAGGUGGCGCGACAAGUCAGUGGUGAAAGUUCGACGCUCAACGUCGAAUCGGCCACUGAUACUGUUGGGCUUGAGCACUGUAGAGGCUAAUGGAAUUCCGGGUGUAGCGGUGGAAUGCGUAGAGAUCAGGAAGAACACCGGUGGCGAAGGCGGCUCUCUGGGCCUUACCUGACGCUGAGGAGCGAAAGCGUGGGUAGCGAACAGG
rnacentral:rRNA from 1 species